AGAGCGAACGCUGGCGGCAGGCCUAACACAUGCAAGUCGAGGGGCCGUAGCAAUACGGCACCGGCAGACGGGAGAGUAACACGUGGGAACGUGCCCAUCAGUUCGGAACAACCCAGGGAAACUUGGGCUAAUACCGGAUACGCCCUUACGGGGAAAGAUUUAUCGCUGAUGGAGCGGCCCGCGUCUGAUUAGCUAGUUGGUGAGGUAACGGCUCACCAAGGCGACGAUCAGUAGCUGGUCUGAGAGGAUGAUCAGCCUCACUGGGACUGAGACACGGCCCAGACUCCUACGGGAGGCAGCAGUGGGGAAUAUUGGACAAUGGGCGCAAGCCUGAUCCAGCCAUGCCGCGUGGAUGAUGAAGGCCUUAGGUUGUAAAUCUUCGGCGGGAAGAUAAUGACGGUACCGCAGAAGAAGCACCGGCCAACUACGUGCCAGCAGCCGC
rnacentral:rRNA from 1 species